GGUGCUGUGGCCGAGUGGCUAGGCAGCGGCCUGCAAAGCCGUCUACGCCGGUUCGAAUCCGGCCAGCACCUCCA
rnacentral:tRNA from 1 species